AAAAAAUCAAAAGGGGAUGAGACACAAUAGCGCCCCGAGCCUCGGCUUCUUCUUCUUCGAUACACUUUCUCCAAAAAGCCUCAGCUGCAACAAUACAAAGAAGACUAUCAGCCGUGUUCCCUAAUCUUUAGAGGAAAAUCAAUAGAAGACAAAAAAAAUCCUAGAUCUAAAAUGGAGAUAGGGACUUGAUGUCUUGCUUAAACAAUUUUAUUUUCGGCAUUUUGCUAGAUUUUGUCUCUGCGGCUGAUUUGUUGACUAACCUGCUGCUACCGCAAGUGAUUCGCACAAAUAGCCGAUUUUAUGACCUCCUGUAUUUCGCUGCUUCGUGUUCUCUUCACCAUAUCUGUCGGAGCACGCACAAACACAGUCACGCAUUUUUUACUUUCCGGCAAGUUUCGAGGCUGAAGAGUCGAGGUCCGCCUGUAUUUCAUCGACCUCCGGCAAGUUCCGAAGUCAAAGUUUCGUUGGUCUUGGUCACGUCUCCAUCCGAUUCUGGAGCUGCAAGUCAGCUGAACUCGGAUUCAUUUUGAAGAGACUUAUUCUCUGUUUGUCUCUGUGCCGCUGUAAUCAGAUCUAGGUAUUUCUGAGCUCGAUGGAAAGUUCAUCGGGAGUUAGCAAGGUAGCUGCCUGGCGAUCGCAACCCUACUUUUCUCCCUUCUUAUUCUCCCUUAGUGUAUUUUUUUGUGAUUUUACCCCGACCAUGUUGGUCUUGAGGUUGCUAGACAGUUGUAAUAGAUGCUCAUGACUAGUGACACCCCGAUUGUUGGGUUUUUCUUUUCGCAAUGUUGCUUGUUUUAAACACUACAUAAAGGUUUAUUGUUAAAUAGAUUUGAUUUUAUCCUAAAAAUGGAAAAUACUGAUUGAUUUUGGGUU